AGGUUAAGUUAACAAGGGCGCAUGGUGAAUGCCUUGGCACUAGGAGCCGAUGAAGGACGGGACUAACACCGAUAUGCUUCGGGGAGCUGUACGUAAGCUAUGAUCCGGAGAUUUCCGAAUGGGGCAACCCAGCAGUUUUAAUCAACUGUUACCACUAGAUGAAUUCAUAGUCUAGUUGGAGGUAAACGCUGUGAACUGAAACAUCUCAUUAGCAGCAGGAAUAUAAAGAAAUUUCGAUUCCCUAAGUAGCGGCGAGCGAACGGGGAACAGCCCAAACCAAAGUGCUUGCACUUUGGGGUUGUAGGACUGAACAUUUGAGUUACCAAAGAACUUGAUAGUCGAAGGAUUUGGGAAAAUCCGCCAUAGAUGGUGAUAGCCCAGUAGAUUAAAUCAAAUUCUCUCAGUUCAGGAUCCUGAGUACGGCGGAACACGUGAAAUUCCGUCGGAAUCCGGGAGGGCCAUCUCCCAAGGCUAAAUACUACCUAGUGACCGAUAGUGAACCAGUACCGUGAGGGAAAGGUGAAAAGCACCCCGGGAGGGGAGUGAAAUAGUUCCUGAAACCAUGUGCCUACAAUAAGUCAGAGCGCGUUAAUGCGUGAUGGCGUGCCUUUUGUAGAAUGAACCGGCGAGUUAUGAUCCCGUGCAAGGUUAAGACUAAAAAGUCGGAGCCGUAGCGAAAGCGAGUCUGAAAUGGGCGUUUUGAGUACGAGGUUAUAGACCCGAAACCAGGUGACCUAUCCAUGUCCAGGUUGAAGGUGCGGUAAAACGCACUGGAGGACCGAACCCGUGUAAGUUGAAAAUUGCUGGGAUGAGGUGUGGAUAGCGGUGAAAUUCCAAACGAACUUGGAGAUAGCUGGUUCUCUCCGAAAUAGCUUUAGGGCUAGCCUCGGAAUUAGGAUCAUGGAGGUAGAGCACUAUUUGGACUAGGGGCCCGUCUUGGGUUACUGAAUUCAGAUAAACUCCGAAUGCCAUUGAUUCAUAUCCGGGAGUCAGACGAUGAGUGAUAAGAUCCACCGUCGAAAGGGGAACAGCCCAGACCAUCAGUUAAGGUCCCUAAAUGUAUGCUAAGUGGAAAAGGAUGUGGAGUUGCAUAGACAACUAGGAUGUUGGCUCAGAAGCAGCCACCAUUUAAAGAGUGCGUAAUAGCUCACUAGUCGAGUGAUCCUGCGCCGAAAAUGUACCGGGGCUAAGCAUACUACCGAAACCAUGGAUGCGACCAUUAGGUCGCGUGAUAGGAGAGCGUUCUAAGGGCGGUGAAGCAAGAUCGUGAGGACUUGUGGAGCGCUUAGAAGUGAGAAUGCCGGUAUGAGUAGCGAAAGAUAGGUGAGAAUCCUAUCCACCGAAUGACUAAGGUUUCCUGGGGAAGGCUCGUCCUCCCAGGGUUAGUCGGGACCUAAGUCGAGGCCGAGAGGCGUAGACGAUGGAUAACAGGUUGAGAUUCCUGUACUAGUUAAGUGCGUUUGAGCAAUGGAGGGACGCAGGAGGCUAAGAUGUGCAUUCUGUUGGAUUAGAAUGUCCAAGCAGUAAGUCUUGUGAAGAGUCAAAUGCUUUUCACUUUAAGGACAAGCUGUGAUGGGGAGCGAAAUUUAGUAGCGAAGCGUCUGAUGUCACACUGCCGAGAAAAGCUUCUAGUGAGUACUUAACUACCCGUACCGCAAACCGACACAGGUAGUCGAGGAGAGAAUCCUAAGGUGAGCGAGUGAACUCUCGUUAAGGAACUCGGCAAAAUGACCCCGUAACUUCGGGAGAAGGGGUGCUGAUCGCAAGAUCAGCCGCAGUGAAUAGGCCCAGGCGACUGUUUAUCAAAAACACAGGUCUCUGCAAAAUCGUAAGAUGACGUAUAGGGGCUGACGCCUGCCCGGUGCUGGAAGGUUAAAAGGAUGGGUUAGCUUCGGCGAAGCUCAGAAUUGAAGCCCCAGUAAACGGCGGCCGUAACUAUAACGGUCCUAAGGUAGCGAAAUUCCUUGUCGGGUAAGUUCCGACCCGCACGAAAGGCGUAACGAUCUGGGCACUGUCUCAACGAGAGACUCGGUGAAAUUAUAUUGUCCGUGAAGAUGCGGACUACCCGCGACAGGACGGAAAGACCCCAUGGAGCUUUACUGUAGCUUGAUAUUGAGUGUUUGUACAGCUUGUACAGGAUAGGUAGGAGCCAUAGAAACCGGAACGCUAGUUUCGGUGGAGGCGUUGGUGGGAUACUACCCUCGCUGUAUGACCACUCUAACCCGCACCACUAAUCGUGGUGGGAGACAGUGUCAGGUGGGCAGUUUGACUGGGGCGGUCGCCUCCUAAAAAGUAACGGAGGCGCCCAAAGGUUCCCUCAGAAUGGUUGGAAAUCAUUCGCAGAGUGUAAAGGCACAAGGGAGCUUGACUGCGAGACAGACAGGUCGAGCAGGGACGAAAGUCGGGCUUAGUGAUCCGGUGGUACCGUAUGGAAGGGCCAUCGCUCAACGGAUAAAAGCUACCCUGGGGAUAACAGGCUUAUCUCCCCCAAGAGUCCACAUCGACGGGGAGGUUUGGCACCUCGAUGUCGGCUCAUCGCAUCCUGGGGCUGUAGUCGGUCCCAAGGGUUGGGCUGUUCGCCCAUUAAAGCGGUACGCGAGCUGGGUUCAGAACGUCGUGAGACAGUUCGGUCCCUAUCCGUCGCGGGCGUAGGAAAUUUGAGAGGACCUGUCCUUAGUACGAGAGGACCGGGAUGGACAUACCUCUGGUGUACCAGUUGUGCCGCCAGGCGCAUCGCUGGGUAGCUACGUAUGGAUGUGAUAAACGCUGAAAGCAUCUAAGUGUGAAACACACCUCGAGAUGAGAUUUCCCAUUCCUUUAUGGAAGUAAGACCCCUGAAAGAUGAUCAGGUAGAUAGGUUAGAAGUGGCAGUGCGGUGACGCAUGAAGCGGACUAAUACUAAUCGGUCGAGGACUUAACCAAG
rnacentral:rRNA from 2 species